rnacentral:rRNA from 1 species
UGCUGGAGGUAUCAGAAGUGCGAAUGCUGACAUAAGUAACGAUAAAGCGGGUGAAAAGCCCGCUCGCCGGAAGACCAAGGGUUCCUGUCCAACGUUAAUCGGGGCAGGGUGAGUCGACCCCUAAGGCGAGGCCGAAAGGCGUAGUCGAUGGGAAACGGGUUAAUAUUCCCGUACUUGGUGUUACUGCGAAGGGGGGACGGAGAAGGCUAUGUUGGCCGGGCGACGGUUGUCCCGGUUUAAGCGUGUAGGUGUGUGUUCCAGGUAAAUCCGGUUCACUUUAACACUGAGGCGUGACGACGAGGCACUACGGUGCUGAAGCAACAAAUGCCCUGCUUCCAGGAAAAGCCUCUAAGCAUCAGGUAACAUCAAAUCGUACCCCAAACCGACACAGGUGGUCAGGUAGAGAAUACCAAGGCGCUUGAGAGAACUCGGGUGAAGGAACUAGGCAAAAUGGUGCCGUAACUUCGGGAGAAGGCACGCUGACACGUAGGUGAAGUGAUUUACUCAUGGAGCUGAAGUCAGUCGAAGAUACCAGCUGGCUGCAACUGUUUAUUAAAAACACAGCACUGUGCAAACACGAAAGUGGACGUAUACGGUGUGACGCCUGCCCGGUGCCGGAAGGUUAAUUGAUGGGGUCAGCGCAAGCGAAGCUCCUGAUCGAAGCCCCGGUAAACGGCGGCCGUAACUAUAACGGUCCUAAGGUAGCGAAAUUCCUUGUCGGGUAAGUUCCGACCUGCACGAAUGGCGUAAUGAUGGCCAGGCUGUCUCCACCCGAGACUCAGUGAAAUUGAACUCGCUGUGAAGAUGCAGUGUACCCGCGGCAAGACGGAAAGACCCCGUGAACCUUUACUAUAGCUUGACACUGAACAUUGAGCCUUGAUGUGUAGGAUAGGUGGGAGGCUUUGAAGCGUGGACGCCAGUCUGCGUGGAGCCGACCUUGAAAUACCACCCUUUAAUGUUUGAUGUUCUAACGUGGACCCGUUACCCGGGUUGCGGACAGUGUCUGGUGGGUAGUUUGACUGGGGCGGUCUCCUCCUAAAGAGUAACGGAGGAGCACGAAGGUUGGCUAAUCCUGGUCGGACAUCAGGAGGUUAGUGCAAUGGCAUAAGCCAGCUUGACUGCGAGCGUGACGGCGCGAGCAGGUGCGAAAGCAGGUCAUAGUGAUCCGGUGGUUCUGAAUGGAAGGGCCAUCGCUCAACGGAUAAAAGGUACUCCGGGGAUAACAGGCUGAUACCGCCCAAGAGUUCAUAUCGACGGCGGUGUUUGGCACCUCGAUGUCGGCUCAUCACAUCCUGGGGCUGAAGUAGGUCCCAAGGGUAUGGCUGUUCGCCAUUUAAAGUGGUACGCGAGCUGGGUUUAGAACGUCGUGAGACAGUUCGGUCCCUAUCUGCCGUGGGCGCUGGAGAACUGAGGGGGGCUGCUCCUAGUACGAGAGGACCGGAGUGGACGCAUCACUGGUGUUCGGGUUGUCAUGCCAAUGGCACUGCCCGGUAGCUAAAUGCGGAAGAGAUAAGUGCUGAAAGCAUCUAAGCACGAAACUUGCCCCGAGAUGAGUUCUCCCUGAGACUUUAAGUCUCCUGAAGGAACGUUGAAGACGACGACGUUGAUAGGCCGGGUGUGUAAGCGCAGCGAUGCGUUGAGCUAACCGGUACUAAUGAACCGUGAGGCUUAACCUU